ACGCAGCCCGGCCUGAACGGAACUCCUUUUUUGCUUGCCGAAACGUUAAUCUCGCAGACCAAUCGUCGUGCAAAAAAGAGUGGGAGUGGAGGACGGAAUAGCU
rnacentral:misc_RNA from 1 species